rnacentral:tRNA from 1 species
AGUUAGAUGCCUGAGAAAAAGGAUUAUCUUGAUGGGAUAAAUUAUGUAAAUUUUACUCUAACUA